GCGAGAGUUCUCUACCAAUCACAAGGUCGGUGGUUCAGUCCUUGGAUGCUACAGUCCGGUUGUCUAAGGAAUUUUACUUGGACCUCAAGUGGCUCUCCGGUACAUUCAUCAGCAGUGUGUGUGAAUAUGUGUGUGAAAGUGUUAGAUAAGUAAGCGUUUGUGUUAAUGAGGCAUGUUUUAUGGAGCAUUUUGAGUGCUCGAAAACAGUAGAAAGCACUAUGUAAGAACCAGUCCAUUUACCACUUAAAAAUUCUUCAUCUAUGUAUAUAUACUGACACCACAGCUUCCUUUCUACAGUUAAAAAUAAUAAUAACUUACUAGUUUAUCACUAGAUCUUCCCAGCUGGAAAAAUCUACCUACUAGUCAGGAUGCAGCCUGGUUUUCUGAAAGGACCGCCUUUCCGUGCCCACUCCAAAGAACCCAGUUUCCUCUGGUCAGCCACUUUACACCAGUAGAGCACACUCAGCAGGAAGUUUACAGCCACCAUAGUCAACUCAAAGCAUGUCUAUCUUUGUUCAAGCAACCAAACAGUCUUUGUUCUGCGCAACAAAGAAGAAGCCCUAAAAACAGAGAGCACAGAGAGGCCAUGGAAAAUGCACCGUGCAAUGGUCGGGUCAUAACUCAACUUGAAAGCAAACCAUGUGUUAAUUGUCCGUGAGUGUGUUUGCUGGAUAGACGCACAGUGUAUAUAGGGAGGCAUGCAAUCAUUCUUUUUCAUGUAGUAAACACUGAAUCGACCCACGCAGGCCUUCCUGCCCUCUCUGCAGCCUAAGCUAGAAGACUUUUAUAUCACUCAUUAAAGGAAACAGUCUAGAGGCCUUAUGCAACCUUUUGCAUUUGGCAAUCUAUGAUUUGAGUGUGCAGAGCCUCCAAAAAGAAGAACACGUAGUGUGUCCAUUGAUAAGAUUCAUCCACUUACCCUCUGUACAGAGAGACCAGUGUAUUACCAGACGGUGUGUGUUCUUUAAAAUCCAAACAGGUCAACAGAAAAUGGGAAACACUGAACCAGUGAGAACUACUUAUACUUCAAGAAGCACUUGAAUAUCCGAACAGGUUUAACACAAGCAACAGUAGAGGGCGUCUCACCACAAUAGCACUGACCCUGAGUCAGCAUUUGCCCCUGUGGCAUCUGCUCACACUCUGUUAGACUGAAUCAAUACUGUGAACAAAGAAGCUUCAGACAGUCAUCU
rnacentral:lncRNA from 1 species